GGCACUGUUGCCUAGUGGCUAGAGCAGUAGACUGGAACUCAGGAGACCUGGGUUCUAUUCCCAGCUCUGCUG
rnacentral:tRNA from 1 species